GGUCUCAUGGUCUAGUGGUUAGGACAUUGGACUUUGAAUCCAGUAUCUCGAGUUCAAAUCUCGGCGAGACCU
rnacentral:tRNA from 1 species